rnacentral:rRNA from 1 species
GAUGAACGCUGGCGGCGUGCCUAAUACAUGCAAGUCGAGCGAACGGACGAGAAGCUUGCUUCUCUGAUGUUAGCGGCGGACGGGUGAGUAACACGUGGAUAACCUACCUAUAAGACUGGGAUAACUUCGGGAAACCGGAGCUAAUACCGGAUAAUAUUUUGAACCGCAUGGUUCAAAAGUGAAAGACGGUCUUGCUGUCACUUAUAGAUGGAUCCGCGCUGCAUUAGCUAGUUGGUAGGUAACGGCUUACCAAGGCAACGAUGCAUAGCCGACCUGAGAGGGUGAUCGGCCACACUGGAACUGAGACACGGUCCAGACUCCUACGGGAGGCAGCAGUAGGGAAUCUUCCGCAAUGGGCGAAAGCCUGACGGAGCGACGCCGCGUGAGUGAUGAAGGUCUUCGGAUCGUAAAACUCUGUUAUUAGGGAAGAACAUAUGUGUAAGUAACUGUGCACAUCUUGACGGUACCUAAUCAGAAAGCCACGGCUAACUACGUG